CAGGAGGACGACAGCCAGCUCAGCGAGGAGGAGGAGGAGCAGACGGUGUGUGAGCUCUGCUCUGACGAGUGUGUGUGUUUCAGUCAGGACAGACGCAGACAGAAGAGGAUGGUCCUGUCCAGUGAAGAGGAGUCUGAGGAGUCCAGCAGACACAGACAGAAGAAGAAGAAGCGAUCACAGGAGUGUGUCCAGUGAGUCUGAUGAUCUCAGCUCGUCUCCAGCUUCACAGACACACCACCGACACAGCUCUCCGUCCGGAGGAACUCACAGCAGGAAGUGAGUGUGUGUGUGUGUGUGUGUGUGUGUGUGAGAGAGAGGGACUGAGACUGAGACUCUCUGUGUGUGUGUGUGUGUGUGUG